rnacentral:rRNA from 1 species
GCGGCCCCCUGGACAAGACUGACGCUCAGGUGCGAAAGCGUGGGGAGCAAACAGGAUUAGAUACCUGGUAGUCCACGCUGUAAACGAUGUCGAUUUGGAGGUUGUUCCCUUGAGGAGUGGCUUCCGGAGCUAACGCGUUAAAUCGACCGCCUGGGGAGUACGGCCGCAAGGUUAAAACUCAAAUGAAUUGACGGGGGCCCGCACAAGCGGUGGAGCAUGUGGUUUAAUUCGAUGCAACGCGAAGAACCUUACCUACUCUUGACAUCCAGAGAAUUUAGCAGAGAUGCUUUAGUGCCUUCGGGAACUCUGAGACAGGUGCUGCAUGGCUGUCGUCAGCUCGUGUUGUGAAAUGUUGGGUUAAGUCCCGCAACGAGCGCAACCCUUAUCCUUUGUUGCCAGCACAUUAUGGUGGGAACUCAAAGGAGACUGCCGGUGAUAAACCGGAGGAAGGUGGGGAUGACGUCAAGUCAUCAUGGCCCUUACGAGUAGGGCUACACACGUGCUACAAUGGCGUAUACAAAGAGAAGCGACCUCGCGAGAGCAAGCGGAACUCAUAAAGUACGUCGUAGUCCGGAUUGGAGUCUGCAACUCGACUCCAUGAAGUCGGAAUCGCUAGUAAUCGUAGAUCAGAAUGCUACGGUGAAUACGUUCCCGGGCCUUGUACACACCGCCCGUCACACCAUGGGAGUGGGUUGCAAAAGAAGUAGGUAGCUUAACCUUCGGGAGGGCGCUUACCACUUUGUGAUUCAUGACUGGGGUGAAGUCGUAACAAGGUAACCA